rnacentral:tRNA from 1 species
ACUUAAAUAGUUUAAUAAAGAUUUUGAUUUGUGGUGUCAAAGAUGUGGGUUACCACUUUAGGUC